CCGCCCCGGCAAAGGUUCUAAUUCCACCUCUCCACCUGGUCCACUGUCUGGUGUUAGUGUGCUCCAUCCCGCCCCGGCAAAGGUUCUAAUUCCACCUCUCCACCUGGUCCUCUGUCUGGUGUUAGUGUGCUCCAUCCCGCCCCGGCAAAGGUUCUAAUUCCACCUCUCCACCUGGUCCUCUGUCUGGUGUUAGUGUGCUCCAUCCCGCCCCGGCAAAGGUUCUAAUUCCACCUCUCCACCUGGUCCUCUGUCUGGUGUUAGUGUGCUCCAUCCCGCCCCGGCAAAGGUUCUAAUUCCACCUCUCCACCUGGUCCUCUGUCUGGUGUUAGUGUGCUCCAUCCCGCCCCGGCAAAGGUUCUAAUUCCACCUCUCCACCUGGUCCACUGUCCGCCUUGACUUCUACAAUCCCUGGGUU